AUUGAACGCUGGCGGCAGGCCUAACACAUGCAAGUCGAACGGUAACAGGAAGCAGCUUGCUGCUUCGCUGACGAGUGGCGGACGGGUGAGUAAUGUCUGGGAAACUGCCUGAUGGAGGGGGAUAACUACUGGAAACGGUAGCUAAUACCGCAUAACGUCGCAAGACCAAAGAGGGGGACCUUAGGGCCUCUUGCCAUCGGAUGUGCCCAGAUGGGAUUAGCUAGUAGGUGGGGUAACGGCUCACCUAGGCGACGAUCCCCAGCUGGUCUGAGAGGAUGACCAGCCACACUGGAACUGAGACACGGUCCAGACUCCUACGGGAGGCAGCAGUGGGGAAUAUUGCACAAUGGGCGCAAGCCUGAUGCAGCCAUGCCGCGUGUAUGAAGAAGGCCUUCGGGUUGUAAAGUACUUUCAGCGGGGAGGAAGGGAGUAAAGUUAAUACCUUUGCUCAUUGACGUUACCCGCAGAAGAAGCGCCGGCUAACUCCGUG
rnacentral:rRNA from 1 species